UCUCCAUCACAUGAUCUUGAAGACCCACAAGCUCAAUCCCAGCUUAACAAUUUCUUCUUCUAGCUGUGCUUUCAAUUCCUCUUCAAUCACCCAUCUGGUUUGUUUGUUGUGUAUGAUCUUUUUAUUUAUGCCUUUUGAUCUUAUAGAUGGAAAAUAAGACAAUAUAUGAUAUAAACCUUCAUAGUAUGUACAUGGCAGAAAAUUUUAGAAUACAAUCAUUGGAUGUACAACAAUUUUAUUUUGAUUAUUGAUUAUAGUGAGUUUCAUACAGAUCUCACUAUAAUCAACGAUUAGAAUAUAUUUAUUGUACAUAUAAUGAUUGUACUGAAAAGCUCUGCAUCUAAUGCUUAAUAAAUCAAAACUUUGCGGUUUUGAUUUGUAAACUUAGAAUUGCAUUUGAUGCACUUGAAAAUAGUACACUUUUCUUUUAUAUGUAUGUGAGUUUCGCUUAAAAAACAACUAGCUAAUUUCACAUAUUUGUAAAAGAAUGUGUAUUAUUUUUUUAGUGCAUUGGAAAUAUUGUAGAAUUUGCAUUCUUUCAGCUUGUGUAAUUUCCUUAGUAUAUAAAUGAGAUGUACUUGUCAAGAACUUUUAUUCUAUUAUUAUUUUUUUUCUAUUAUAAAUAGAUGAUAUUAUGAGG
rnacentral:misc_RNA from 1 species